rnacentral:rRNA from 1 species
GAUGAACGCUGGCGGCGUGCCUAAUACAUGCAAGUCGAGCGAACAGACGAGGAGCUUGCUCCUCUGACGUUAGCGGCGGACGGGUGAGUAACACGUGGAUAACCUACCUAUAAGACUGGGAUAACUUCGGGAAACCGGAGCUAAUACCGGAUAAUAUAUUGAACCGCAUGAUUCCAUAGUGAAAGACGGUUUUGCUGUCACUUAUAGAUGGAUCCGCGCCGCAUUAGCUAGUUGGUAAGGUAACGGCUUACCAAGGCAACGAUGCGUAGCCGACCUGAGAGGGUGAUCGGCCACACUGGAACUGAGACACGGUCCAGACUCCUACGGGAGGCAGCAGUAGGGAAUCUUACGCAAUGGGCGAAAGCCUAACGGAGCAACGCCGCGUGAGUGAUGAAGGUCUUCGGAUCGUAAAACUCUGUUAUUAGGGAAGAACAAAUGUGUAAGUAACUAUGCACGUCUUGACGGUACCUAAUCAGAAAGCCACGGCUAACUACGUG